rnacentral:rRNA from 1 species
AUUGAACGCUGGCGGCAUGCUUUACACAUGCAAGUCGAACGGCAGCGCGGGCUUCGGCCUGGCGGCGAGUGGCGAACGGGUGAGUAAUACAUCGGAACGUGCCCAGUGUGGGGGAUAGCUCGGCGAAAGCCGGAUUAAUACCGCAUACGACCUGAGGGUGAAAGCGGGGGAUCUUCGGACCUCGCGCUAUUGGAGCGGCCGAUGGCAGAUUAGCUAGUUGGUGGGGUAAAGGCCUACCAAGGCGACGAUCUGUAGCUGGUCUGAGAGGACGACCAGCCACACUGGGACUGAGACACGGCCCAGACUCCUACGGGAGGCAGCAGUGGGGAAUUUUGGACAAUGGGCGAAAGCCUGAUCCAGCAAUGCCGCGUGUGUGAUGAAGGCCUUCGGGUUGUAAAGCACUUUUGGCGGGAACGAAAAGGACUGUGCCAAUACCACGGUUCGAUGACGGUACCCGCAGAAUAAGCACCGGCUAACUACGUG